rnacentral:rRNA from 1 species
GGUUAAGCGACUAAGCGUACACGGUGGAUGCCCUGGCAGUCAGAGGCGAUGAAGGACGUGCUAAUCUGCGAUAAGCGUCGGUGAGGUGAUAUGAACCGUUAUAACCGGCGAUUUCCGAAUGGGGAAACCCAGUGUGUUUCGACACACUAUCAUUAACUGAAUCCAUAGGUUAAUGAGGCGAACCGGGGGAACUGAAACAUCUAAGUACCCCGAGGAAAAGAAAUCAACCGAGAUUCCCCCAGUAGCGGCGAGCGAACGGGGAGGAGCCCAGAGCCUGAAUCAGUGUGUGUGUUAGUGGAAGCGUCUGGAAAGGCGCGCGAUACAGGGUGACAGCCCCGUACACAAAAAUGCACAUAUUGUGAGCUCGAUGAGUAGGGCGGGACACGUGGUAUCCUGUCUGAAUAUGGGGGGACCAUCCUCCAAGGCUAAAUACUCCUGACUGACCGAUAGUGAACCAGUACCGUGAGGGAAAGGCGAAAAGAACCCCGGCGAGGGGAGUGAAAAAGAACCUGAAACCGUGUACGUACAAGCAGUGGGAGCCUCUUUAUGGGGUGACUGCGUACCUUUUGUAUAAUGGGUCAGCGACUUAUAUUCUGUAGCAAGGUUAACCGAAUAGGGGAGCCGAAGGGAAACCGAGUCUUAACUGGGCGUUAAGUUGCAGGGUAUAGACCCGAAACCCGGUGAUCUAGCCAUGGGCAGGUUGAAGGUUGGGUAACACUAACUGGAGGACCGAACCGACUAAUGUUGAAAAAUUAGCGGAUGACUUGUGGCUGGGGGUGAAAGGCCAAUCAAACCGGGAGAUAGCUGGUUCUCCCCGAAAGCUAUUUAGGUAGCGCCUCGUGAAUUCAUCUCCGGGGGUAGAGCACUGUUUCGGCAAGGGGGUCAUCCCGACUUACCAACCCGAUGCAAACUGCGAAUACCGGAGAAUGUUAUCACGGGAGACACACGGCGGGUGCUAACGUCCGUCGUGAAGAGGGAAACAACCCAGACCGCCAGCUAAGGUCCCAAAGUCAUGGUUAAGUGGGAAACGAUGUGGGAAGGCCCAGACAGCCAGGAUGUUGGCUUAGAAGCAGCCAUCAUUUAAAGAAAGCGUAAUAGCUCACUGGUCGAGUCGGCCUGCGCGGAAGAUGUAACGGGGCUAAACCAUGCACCGAAGCUGCGGCAGCGACACUAUGUGUUGUUGGGUAGGGGAGCGUUCUGUAAGCCUGUGAAGGUGGCCUGUGAGGGUUGCUGGAGGUAUCAGAAGUGCGAAUGCUGACAUAAGUAACGAUAAAGCGGGUGAAAAGCCCGCUCGCCGGAAGACCAAGGGUUCCUGUCCAACGUUAAUCGGGGCAGGGUGAGUCGACCCCUAAGGCGAGGCCGAAAGGCGUAGUCGAUGGGAAACAGGUUAAUAUUCCUGUACUUGGUGUUACUGCGAAGGGGGGACGGAGAAGGCUAUGUUGGCCGGGCGACGGUUGUCCCGGUUUAAGCGUGUAGGCUGGUUUUCCAGGCAAAUCCGGAAAACCAAGGCUGAGGCGUGAUGACGAGGCACUACGGUGCUGAAGCGACAAAUGCCCUGCUUCCAGGAAAAGCCUCUAAGCAUCAGGUAACAUCAAAUCGUACCCCAAACCGACACAGGUGGUCAGGUAGAGAAUACCAAGGCGCUUGAGAGAACUCGGGUGAAGGAACUAGGCAAAAUGGUGCCGUAACUUCGGGAGAAGGCACGCUGAUAUGUAGGUGAAGCGACUUGCUCGUGGAGCUGAAAUCAGUCGAAGAUACCAGCUGGCUGCAACUGUUUAUUAAAAACACAGCACUGUGCAAACACGAAAGUGGACGUAUACGGUGUGACGCCUGCCCGGUGCCGGAAGGUUAAUUGAUGGGGUUAGCGGUAACGCGAAGCUCUUGAUCGAAGCCCCGGUAAACGGCGGCCGUAACUAUAACGGUCCUAAGGUAGCGAAAUUCCUUGUCGGGUAAGUUCCGACCUGCACGAAUGGCGUAAUGAUGGCCAGGCUGUCUCCACCCGAGACUCAGUGAAAUUGAACUCGCUGUGAAGAUGCAGUGUACCCGCGGCAAGACGGAAAGACCCCGUGAACCUUUACUAUAGCUUGACACUGAACAUUGAGCCUUGAUGUGUAGGAUAGGUGGGAGGCUUUGAAGUGUGGACGCCAGUCUGCAUGGAGCCGACCUUGAAAUACCACCCUUUAAUGUUUGAUGUUCUAACGUUGGCCCGUAAUCCGGGUUGCGGACAGUGUCUGGUGGGUAGUUUGACUGGGGCGGUCUCCUCCUAAAGAGUAACGGAGGAGCACGAAGGUUGGCUAAUCCUGGUCGGACAUCAGGAGGUUAGUGCAAUGGCAUAAGCCAGCUUGACUGCGAGCGUGACGGCGCGAGCAGGUGCGAAAGCAGGUCAUAGUGAUCCGGUGGUUCUGAAUGGAAGGGCCAUCGCUCAACGGAUAAAAGGUACUCCGGGGAUAACAGGCUGAUACCGCCCAAGAGUUCAUAUCGACGGCGGUGUUUGGCACCUCGAUGUCGGCUCAUCACAUCCUGGGGCUGAAGUAGGUCCCAAGGGUAUGGCUGUUCGCCAUUUAAAGUGGUACGCGAGCUGGGUUUAGAACGUCGUGAGACAGUUCGGUCCCUAUCUGCCGUGGGCGCUGGAGAACUGAGGGGGGCUGCUCCUAGUACGAGAGGACCGGAGUGGACGCAUCACUGGUGUUCGGGUUGUCAUGCCAAUGGCACUGCCCGGUAGCUAAAUGCGGAAGAGAUAAGUGCUGAAAGCAUCUAAGCACGAAACUUGCCCCGAGAUGAGUUCUCCCUGAC